AGAUAUAAAAACUGAACUAAUUCCAAAAGAGAUAGAAAGAUGGGAAUCAAGCUGAGGCUUGGUCUGGCAUUUUCAGGACUAGUUUUAUCAAAUAUGUUCGGAGUAAAUAUGCUCUCUGGAAUUAAGGACUAUGUUGAUACGACUGGAAAUAUAAUGGUUGAUAUCGCAGAUGGAAUCGGUAUGGUUUCCAAGGGUAUAGAGUACCUGGAGUCCUACCUAGACCCUGAAGCUGGUCAACCAGCAGGUCUAUCAGAAUCAACCAGUUCAGCAACCCCAUCAUCUACACCCACAUCAGCCAUACCAUCUUCAUCUGUUCCUUCACCAACUUCUUCUCCAGCUUCAUCUUCUCCUGCUCCUUCUCCGUCCUCUAUAUCUCCUGGUUCUCCUGGUUCUCCUGGCUCUCCGGGAACUCCAGGAUAUGUUGAUCCAAAGGCAGCAGUAUUCUGUGAGAAGGGUAAAUGUUACCCAUAUGAUCCUAGUAAAGUAAAAAACACCAACUUAGAAGUUAAACCAGGGGUGAUUCUAACUCCUCAGGCAAAACCAGCACAACCCAAAUAUUCAAGGAGAUCACAAGAGGAAGAAAGAAUCUCAGAGAGAAACAAAAACGAUGGAAAGAAAGGUCAACAAGUGCAUGCCAGGUCUGAAUACAGAGAAAACGAAAAGAUUAUAGCCAGCACAUCAUCUUCUAUUCUUCAACCUGCAACAGAGAAAGCAACAACAACAACAACAGCAUCAAGCACUGUAGCUAAAACGGAGCCUACUGAUCCCAAUACUCCCGCACCCUCAGCUGAUCAAGUUGAACUAGAAACCCCUGUCUCUGGAGGGAAGCGUGUUCUGUCCUCACUAAGAAUCUUCUCUUGACUCUGUAAGAAUCCUGGAAAAGAUUCUCUGGCAGCUCAUGAAUUGAAUAGGACGGAAAACUUUCUUCUUCUCAACAUUAUACAACAUUAUAAAUAAAACAAAAUACACACUUAUUCAAACUUUUCAUCAAAGGUUUACUCAAUAAUACAAGCAAACUUCUAGUUAGACUUGUUUCCAGAAUGUUUCCCUGGAACAGAAGAGCACGAAGACGACUUCAAGG
rnacentral:misc_RNA from 1 species